rnacentral:rRNA from 1 species
UACGAAGGGGGCUAGCGUUGCUCGGAAUCACUGGGCGUAAAGGGUGCGUAGGCGGGUCUUUAAGUCAGGGGUGAAAUCCUGGAGCUCAACUCCAGAACUGCCUUUGAUACUGAGAAGCUUGAGUCCGGGAGAGGUGAGUGGAACUGCGAGUGUAAGAGGUGAAAUUCGUAGAUAUUCGCAAGAACACCAGUGGCGAAGGCGGCUCACUGGCCCGGUACUGACGCUGAGGUGCGAAAGCGUGGGGAGCAAACAGG